rnacentral:rRNA from 1 species
CGGCAUGCUUAACACAUGCAAGUCGAACGGUAACAGGACUAGCCUGCUAGUCGCUGACGAGUGGCGGACGGGUGAGUAACGCGUAGGAAUCUGCCUUAAGGUGGGGGAUAACUCGGGGAAACUCGAGCUAAUACCGCAUAACCUCUACGGAGUAAAGCGGGGGAUCUUCGGACCUCGUGCCUUAAGAUGAGCCUGCGUCAGAUUAGCUUGUUGGUGGGGUAAUGGCCUACCAAGGCAACGAUCUGUAGCUGGUCUGAGAGGAUGAUCAGCCACACUGGGACUGAGACACGGCCCAGACUCCUACGGGAGGCAGCAGUGGGGAAUAUUGGACAAUGGGGGCAACCCUGAUCCAGCAAUGCCGCGUGUGUGAAGAAGGCCUUCGGGUUGUAAAGCACUUUCAGUUGGGAAGAACUACUCCAGGUUAAUAACCUGAGAGAUGUGACGUUACCUUCAGAAGAAGCACCGG